rnacentral:rRNA from 1 species
UACAGAGGUCUCAAGCGUUGUUCGGAUUCAUUGGGCGUAAAGGGUGCGUAGGCGGCGCGGUAAGUCGGGUGUGAAAUCUCGGAGCUUAACUCCGAAACUGCAUUCGAUACUGCCGUGCUUGAGGACUGGAGAGGAGACUGGAAUUUACGGUGUAGCGGUGAAAUGCGUAGAUAUCUGGAGGAACACCGGUGGCGAAGGCGGCAUCCUGGACCAAUACUGACGCUGAGGAGCGAAAGCCAGGGGAGCAAACAGG